rnacentral:rRNA from 1 species
GAUGAACGCUGGCGGCGUGCCUAAUACAUGCAAGUCGAGCGAACAGAUAAGGAGCUUGCUCCUUUGACGUUAGCGGCGGACGGGUGAGUAGCACGUGGGUAACCUACCUAUAAGACUGGAAUAACUCCGGGAAACCGGGGCUAAUGCCGGAUAACAUUUAGAACCGCAUGGUUCUAAAGUGAAAGAUGGUUUUGCUAUCACUUAUAGAUGGACCCGCGCCGUAUUAGCUAGUUAGUAAGGUAACGGCUUACCAAGGCAACGAUACGUAGCCGACCUGAGAGGGUGAUCGGCCACACUGGAACUGAGACACGGUCCAGACUCCUACGGGAGGCAGCAGUAGGGAAUCUUCCGCAAUGGGCGAAAGCCUGACGGAGCAACGCCGCGUGAGUGAUGAAGGUCUUCGGAUCGUAAAACUCUGUUAUUAGGGAAGAACAAAUGUGUAAGUAACUGUGCACGUCUUGACGGUACCUAAUCAGAAAGCCGCGGCUAACUACGUG